CUUAGUUCCAGCUCGGAGUUUCUAAAAGUCGCUGGGUGCACACCCACGCGCCCUGCUUUUCUUUUCCUUGCCAUGAGUAACUCUGUCCGCCUGGUUUCUGAAGAUGUCCACAUGGUAGCGGAGUUCUCCAAACCCUUGUCACUCCUAUCCACCUGAGACAAAAGGGAACAAUAAAUCUUACAAGAUUUUCAAGCUGGGGACAGCACCGGGCCCAUUGUUACUGCAGCAAAAUCCAGCUUAUCCUGAUUACAACACCCUUUCCUUUCCUAUCGCCAGCAUGCUGCCUUGAGACGACCACCAACUCUCAAGCCCCGGUGUCUCCAGUCACAAGGUCUCUGCAGUCGGAGAAGGUGCCAGGAGCUCAGCCAUGUAGAAGCUGCCUGAUGUCCGUCCCCAGUAGGUCACAUGAUCGAUCUGGGUGGCCACCUUAGUCAUCUGUGCGCUGGUCAUAUGAGAUCAAGGUCCGGGAAAGUCCCUCAGAGAGGUUCAUUUGCAUAUUGCCAAUCAGCUGUGGCUGUAACUUCCCCUACCUAGGAUCCUUCAGCAUCCCCAUUUCCUGUUUGCUGGAACAACCUGCUAUUCAACAGGUGGCUGGAGAGAGAUGGCUCAGCGGUUAAGAGCACUGACUGCUCUUCCAGAGGUC
rnacentral:sRNA from 1 species